AUACUUGAAUAAAAAUGAUUUAGUGCAGGACAGUCAAUGUCACAUUCAUCACAUGUUUAUCUACCGGUCUCAAUAUUGUGGAAUACAUGUCCAGACGUAGACUUUUUCCUGGAAUUUCUCAUUACACUCCCAGAGUAUAGCAAGAAAAUUACCUUCUAUCUACAACAUACGUGGUCAUUCAGUUUACCCUAUUACUAACCAGAGCUAUUGUUGAAGAGGAACUCGGGAUAGAAAAUCGGCUAAUCCGUAUAGGCAGUGGUUGUUGGCGAUUUUCACCAUCGACACAAUGGCGUCUUCAGGGGGAAGAAAUGAAAGUGAAAAAUGUUCAGUAUCUACAUGUUAAAGUCGAAGGCACUCAGCAGUUUGGCCUACGCUUUGGAAAUGUUCAUUUAUAAUCUUAUUAUGCAUGUUUAAAUUUAUAAAUAUCGGCUUAUCACUCAUCCCCUGUAUCAAUACUAUUGGUUAAGUUUGACACCCCAUGGUGGAAAAAUUUGCUGUGAAUUCGAUAAGCGCCCCAUUGACACAAUACUCAGGGGCAUCUCCUCUAUUAAUUUACAUUUAGAGUGAUUUUUCUUCUAUCAUACAAAGUAUUUCGAGUUUUAUCAAAAGAUGUAAUUAUGGUGCUAUUUGGAAAACAAUACAAUGGUCCACAUACAUUUAUACACCAAGAUCGCCUCCUGUAAAGAAAACAGGUACGUUUUCCUUACUAUUUCGACUUUGCCUACUAGGGUUGUUACGGACUUCCGCAUUCGCAUCCGCAUCCGCAUCCGCAUCCGCAUAACUUUUCACGAUUUAAUCUUUAAAAGUAUAGGAUAGAUGGCACAAAGUUAGAUGAUUUUAAGUUUACAAAUUCGCCCAUAACACAAAGGAUCUAAUUUUCAAAUUAAUUUAAAGUAAAACUAUCCAACCUUACGAAAAUUCUUUUUAACAACUACUUCACUUUACAAAAGCUGAAGAGUAUUUAGAACAUGAUGAACUUAAAUACUAUUAUUUGACAUUAAUACAGUAAUGUCAAACGUAAUCAAUUCUUUUAAGAAUUAAUUACUUUU